GGGUCAGGGAGGAUGAAGGAGCAGGUCUAGGUCCUCUAAUGAGGCCGCUUGGUGGGUCACCAGAGCCCCAGUGCGGUCUUGGACCCAGGCUUGCCUACAUGCCUUGUAGCUGGAAUUCUGAGACCCUGUCCCGCAGUGAUGAAGAAUGAAAUCACAGAUGAAGGAGGUCAUGCAAACUGCUGCACACAAGGCACCUUGAGGAGAAGGGCAGGAACUCAAAAGAGGUUCAACCGCAGAGUACUGAGUUCCUUUGAAUUGUUGAUGGAACUUUGGGUUGUUUCCAGUUUGGGGCCAUUCCAAGUAAAUCUGUGCAUGAGAACCCAGUUGUGGCACCUUUUCACCAACAUUUAAGGCGGCAGAACCACUGAGCUACAUCCCAGACCCCUUUUAUGUAUAUUUUCUAAAAGUCUUGAGCUAAUCUGUUACUACCAUGAAAUGUAUUUCAAGGCUUUAGCCUCCAACUGGUGUUGUUUGGGAUAAAAUAAACAUUUGCCCAUGGGGAAAAUAAAUAGAAAUUUUCAAAUAAUUAAAAAAAUUCCUUCCAAAG
ensembl:lncRNA